UCCAGCUCCUAUUGGCUCAGUGGAAGUGUCAAUCAUCUGCUCCUCCAGUGGGGUGAUGAGGGUGUCCUGCUCCUCUGAGGGGGAUCAGCUCCUCUACAGCUGGACUCUGAAUGGAGGUCCACUGAUGGAUGGAAACAGCAGCAUUGAUCUGGAUGAGGGAACUGAUGGAGACAUCAGCUGCAGCGUGAAGAACCACGUCAGUCACGCACAGAAGACCACUAGAGUCCAACCCUGUGCUGUGUCUGUGGUGUUUGUGCUGGUCUGGUGUCUUCAGCUGAUGGUUCUGUUGGGUCUGUUAGGAGGUUUUCACAUCUACAUGAGACACACGUCAGGAAAGAAGCAGGAAGAUCAGAAAGUGAGGAUGAGAAGAUUUAGAGAAGGACCUGAACACACAGCAGAAGAUUCAUGAGAGCAGCAGAUCUUCUGUAUUUUAUAUGAUUUUUAACAUGUUUAGACACAGAUGUCUAUUUUUUAUUCAUUUGUAAGUGGUAAGUGAUUCACUGCUAGUGGGUGACUUCAGUGAACCCAUCAACCAGCAUUUAUAUGUCUUUUUACAGUUUUAUAAAUUUGUUGACAUUUAUAAUGACAGUUGUAUAAAAGCAAGAGUAGUA
rnacentral:lncRNA from 1 species